CCUUUUUCUUUUUCAACCAGAACUGUCAAACGUUAUUACUUACACCGGGUCUCAGUGGCUGAUGGCAAUAGAGUAGCUGGUUGAAAAUUCUGGAGGAGGAUAGUCAACUUUAAGUUAAGAUAACAAUGUCACCUGCUGUGUUUAAGGUGACUCUGGAUCGGGCACACGUAAGAGCUUCAAUUUAUCAUCAUCAAUCCAGUACAAUAUACACAUAUGUGUGGGAGAAAGCCAUCUUAUAAAGGAAAUAUGCAUCCAGUAAGUCCCCCGGUUUGAUACAGGAUGCUUUAUAACAGGUGCACCUCUCUCCUGGGUUAAGCAGUUGUAUACAAGGAGGACCCAAAAAAGAAUAGAACGAAAGCAGAGGGCUUCCGAUAUAGACUUCUUCCUAGG
rnacentral:lncRNA from 11 species